AAAUUGAAGAGUUUGAUCAUGGCUCAGAUUGAACGCUGGCGGCAGGCCUAACACAUGCAAGUCGAGCGGUAGCACAGAGAGCUUGCUCUCGGGUGACGAGCGGCGGACGGGUGAGUAAUGUCUGGGAAACUGCCUGAUGGAGGGGGAUAACUACUGGAAACGGUAGCUAAUACCGCAUAAUGUCGCAAGACCAAAGUGGGGGACCUUCGGGCCUCAUGCCAUCAGAUGUGCCCAGAUGGGAUUAGCUAGUAGGUGGGGUAACGGCUCACCUAGGCGACGAUCCCUAGCUGGUCUGAGAGGAUGACCAGCCACACUGGAACUGAGACACGGUCCAGACUCCUACGGGAGGCAGCAGUGGGGAAUAUUGCACAAUGGGCGCAAGCCUGAUGCAGCCAUGCCGCGUGUGUGAAGAAGGCCUUCGGGUUGUAAAGCACUUUCAGCGGGGAGGAAGGCGGUGAGGUUAAUAACCUCAUCGAUUGACGUUACCCGCAGAAGAAGCACCGGCUAACUCCGUGCCAGCAGCCGCGGUAAUACGGAGGGUGCAAGCGUUAAUCGGAAUUACUGGGCGUAAAGCGCACGCAGGCGGUCUGUCAAGUCGGAUGUGAAAUCCCCGGGCUUAACCUGGGAACUGCAUUCGAAACUGGCAGGCUAGAGUCUUGUAGAGGGGGUAGAAUUCCAGGUGUAGCGGUGAAAUGCGUAGAGAUCUGGAGGAAUACCGGUGGCGAAGGCGGCCCCCUGGACAAAGACUGACGCUCAGGUGCGAAAGCGUGGGGAGCAAACAGGAUUAGAUACCCUGGUAGUCCACGCCGUAAACGAUGUCGAUUUGGAGGUUGUGCCCUUGAGGCGUGGCUUCCGGAGCUAACGCGUUAAAUCGACCGCCUGGGGAGUACGGCCGCAAGGUUAAAACUCAAAUGAAUUGACGGGGGCCCGCACAAGCGGUGGAGCAUGUGGUUUAAUUCGAUGCAACGCGAAGAACCUUACCUGGUCUUGACAUCCACAGAACUUUCCAGAGAUGGAUUGGUGCCUUCGGGAACUGUGAGACAGGUGCUGCAUGGCUGUCGUCAGCUCGUGUUGUGAAAUGUUGGGUUAAGUCCCGCAACGAGCGCAACCCUUAUCCUUUGUUGCCAGCGGUCCGGCCGGGAACUCAAAGGAGACUGCCAGUGAUAAACUGGAGGAAGGUGGGGAUGACGUCAAGUCAUCAUGGCCCUUACGACCAGGGCUACACACGUGCUACAAUGGCAUAUACAAAGAGAAGCGACCUCGCGAGAGCAAGCGGACCUCAUAAAGUAUGUCGUAGUCCGGAUUGGAGUCUGCAACUCGACUCCAUGAAGUCGGAAUCGCUAGUAAUCGUAGAUCAGAAUGCUACGGUGAAUACGUUCCCGGGCCUUGUACACACCGCCCGUCACACCAUGGGAGUGGGUUGCAAAAGAAGUAGGUAGCUUAACCUUCGGGAGGGCGCUUACCACUUUGUGAUUCAUGACUGGGGUGAAGUCGUAACAAGGUAACCGUAGGGGAACCUGCGGUUGGAUCACCUCCUUA
rnacentral:rRNA from 1 species